rnacentral:rRNA from 1 species
UACGUAGGUGGCAAGCGUUGUCCGGAUUUACUGGGCGUAAAGGAUGCGUAGGCGGACAUUUAAGUCAGAUGUGAAAUACCCGAGCUUAACUUGGGUGCUGCAUUUGAAACUGGGUGUCUAGAGUGCAGGAGAGGUAAUUGGAAUUCCUAGUGUAGCGGUGAAAUGCGUAGAGAUUAGGAAGAACACCAGUGGCGAAGGCGACUUACUGGACUGUAACUGACGCUGAGGCAUGAAAGCGUGGGGAGCAAACAGG